rnacentral:lncRNA from 1 species
CAGUUGCAACAGCACGAUUUUAGCUUCUUAGAAUGCAUUCUCCAAAAGCCACAAAAUACACCUGCAUGGAUUUCUACAAAUACCACGGGAGUCUCUUACAUUUGGGAACUUUACAGUCCUAUUGGUCAAACAACCAUGAAAAGCUAAUGCUGCAAUGACACAGGGAAAUUACUGGUCGUCGUGCCACUGCCUUGCCACCAUGUCGCACCUCUCCCCCCACCUCCCUUGAAGAAUAAAGGAACAUAAUGGACGCUUUUUGAGGACCAGGAGGCAUGUCACACACCAUAAGCCCAGUGCAAGGCAGCGGUGGAUACACACAGUCUCGCACACCUGCUUCCAGAGAUUCCUGCUCCUUCAUCCUCUACCCUGUCUCCUGAGGGUCCAGCUCAGUGGGUUUCUACCACAAGACCAUACCCUCAGGCUUCCUCUCACAUCAAGCCUCGAGGGUGUCUGAGGCUUCAGUCCCCCUCAGUUUUCAAAUCACGUAGAGGGCUUUGGUUGUUGCACGAUAGCAACCAAAUCCCAUGCAAGUCAGUUUAUGAAAUUCCAUCACUGGUUACUCUGAGAGUUCCUCAUUGACAUUGGCUGCAGCCUCAGGCAUUAUGGUGCUAACUUUGGAAAAGUAUUUCCAAUUUCUACUCCUUCCUGUAUUACUAAUAGGGAUAGACCAAAUAGAACCCCACAGUGGAGAUGUUAUAAUACCCAUAAAACCUAGCAGUCAAACAGGGAAAUGGUUCCAAUCAAACCAGCCUUCGCUUGGCUCCCCCUCCUGUCCAGCUCAGGCGUUCGGCGUCGCUGGCCUUCUAGCUGCUGCUGAACCUGCUGCUGGAUAACGCCCUUCUCUCAUCAACCCCGGACUUGUCUCGUCAUCAUUACACACACCUGGUUCCAAUCUCCACUCUAUCACUGUAUAUAUACUCCCUCUGUCAUUUGUCUUUGAUUGGUCGAUGUAAAUGUUGCUUGUUUUCUUGAGAGGAAUCUCUCCUGCUGUACUUUUAAUAUAUAUAUAUAUUUAAUAAAUUCAGUAGUUCUAAACCCC